ensembl:misc_RNA Metazoa_SRP Metazoan signal recognition particle RNA
GCCGGGUAUGGUGGGCAUGCCUGUAGUCCCAGCCACUCGGGAGGCUGAGGCUGGAGGAUCGCUUGAGUCCAGGAGUUCUGGGCUGUAGUGCGCUAUGCCGAUCGAGCGUCCACACUAAGUUCGGUGUCAAUAUGGUGACCCUCCGAGAGUGGUAACCACUAGGUUGCCUAAGAAGGGGUGAACCAGCCCAGGUCGGAAACAGAGCAGGUCAGAACUCCCGUGCUGAUCAGUAGUGGGAUUGCACCUGUGAAUAGCCACUGCACUUCAGCCCGGGCAACAGAGCGAGACCCUGUCUCUA